CAUGCAAGUCGAACGAUGAUGGGAGCUUGCUCCUGGAUUAGUGGCGAACGGGUGAGUAACACGUGAGUAACCUGCCCUUAACUCUGGGAUAAGCCUGGGAAACUGGGUCUAAUACCGGAUAUGACUCCUCAUCGCAUGGUGGGGGGUGGAAAGCUUUAUUGUGGUUUUGGAUGGACUCGCGGCCUAUCAGCUUGUUGGUGAGGUAAUGGCUUACCAAGGCGACGACGGGUAGCCGGCCUGAGAGGGUGACCGGCCACACUGGGACUGAGACACGGCCCAGACUCCUACGGGAGGCAGCAGUGGGGAAUAUUGCACAAUGGGCGCAAGCCUGAUGCAGCGACGCCGCGUGAGGGAUGACGGCCUUCGGGUUGUAAACCUCUUUCAGUAGGGAAGAAGCGAAAGUGACGGUACCUGCAGAAGAAGCGCCGGCUAACUACGUGCCAGCAGCCGCGGUAAUACGUAGGGCGCAAGCGUUAUCCGGAAUUAUUGGGCGUAAAGAGCUCGUAGGCGGUUUGUCGCGUCUGCCGUGAAAGUCCGGGGCUCAACUCCGGAUCUGCGGUGGGUACGGGCAGACUAGAGUGAUGUAGGGGAGACUGGAAUUCCUGGUGUAGCGGUGAAAUGCGCAGAUAUCAGGAGGAACACCGAUGGCGAAGGCAGGUCUCUGGGCAUU
rnacentral:rRNA from 1 species